rnacentral:rRNA from 1 species
UACCAUGCAGUCGAGCGGCAGCGGAAGUAGCUUGCUACUUUGCCGGCGAGCGGCGGACGGGUGAUUAAUGCCGGGGAAACUGCCUGAUGGAGGGGGAUAACUACUGGAAACGGUAGCUAAUACCGCAUAACGUCGCAAGACCAAAGAGGGGGACCUUCGGGCCUCUUGCCAUCAGAUGUGCCCAGAUGGGAUUAGCUAGUAGGUGGGGUAACGGCUCACCUAGGCGACGAUCCCUAGCUGGUCUGAGAGGAUGACCAGCCACACUGGAACUGAGACACGGUCCAGACUCCUACGGGAGGCAGCAGUGGGGAAUAUUGCACAAUGGGCGCAAGCCUGAUGCAGCCAUGCCGCGUGUAUGAAGAAGGCCUUCGGGUUGUAAAGUACUUUCAGCGGGGAGGAAGGUGUUGAGGUUAAUAACCUCAGCAAUUGACGUUACCCGCAGAAGAAGCACCGGCUAACUCCGUGCCAGCAGCCGCGGUAAUACGGAGGGUGCAAGCGUUAAUCGGAAUUACUGGGCGUAAAGCGCACGCAGGCGGUCUGUCAAGUCGGAUGUGAAAUCCCCGGGCUCAACCUGGGAACUGCAUUCGAAACUGGCAGGCUAGAGUCUUGUAGAGGGGGGUAGAAUUCCAGGUGUAGCGGUGAAAUGCGUAGAGAUCUGGAGGAAUACCGGUGGCGAGCGCGGCCCCCUGGACAAAGACUGACGCUCAUGUGCGAAGCGUGGGGAGCAAACAAGAUUACAUC